AACGGCAAAUGAUGAAUACUUUUAUUUCAUUUAAUCUGAAUUAUAAUAAUGUGGAUUAAACUCCGCUUAUUGUCUGAUGCCACU